rnacentral:lncRNA from 1 species
GGACACAAUACCCAACACCCACGACUGGAAGGAGGAGAGGUUUAUUUGGCUCACAGUUUGUAGAGGUUUCCGUCCACAGUCGGCGGCUCCAAGGCAGGGCAUAGCAGAGGAGAAACAGUCCAUGGCAGGCACAUUCAGCUACAAACCCAUCAGUGGACUACUCCACUGCCCAGGAAAGGCGAACUGCUACCGGAUGACGUGGGGCGUGUGGUGCCCGUGUUUGGAGGCGCCAGCGCCGGGCUGCUGCAGGACACGGGUGAGGGCCUACGGGCAUGUUCAGGCCUGUGACACCUCUCAGGCAGGCUUGAGACUCAGAAUCCCACAACACUGGCCAGGAGUGCCAGGGCAGCGUCACGCUGUCCUGCCCACAGUCACACGUCCUGCAGCAGCACGGAGCUUCCUCUUUAAAGUGAGUCAGCUUGGAAUAAAG